UGUAAGACUUCUAACAGGAGGAACAGGUGCUGUCUGCGAUUCUGCUGCCUGCCUUUGGGAGCUUUUCCC
rnacentral:miRNA from 1 species